CGUGCCUCCGUAGCAUAGUGGUAUUGCGUUCGCUUCGUAAGCGAAAGGCCGCGAGUUCGAUCCUCGCCGGGGGCUACUC
rnacentral:tRNA from 1 species